GUAUUAUUUUAUCAAUGACUAUAUAAGUACAACAUUACUUCCGUUAUUUAAUGAACCACUUCAGUAUCAUUUAAGUUACUGAUAAUCAUUAUCCUGUUAUAUAGCCAUCAUGUAUGAUAUACUGAAAACAUUAGGGACAGAUUUGGAUCCCAAAAGUCCGAUAUUGUUUAUGAUUGUCAUGUACAUGUUAUUUAUUGUCGGAUUAAAUUUUGUUCGCACUUCCCACUCAGGUGAGUUCAACCUUUAAUAUAUCUUUUUAGAAGUGUUUUCAUUUUAUUAUAUUAAUAUGACAAUAUCGAUGGAAUAUUUGUUCGAAAUUCAGAAGUUUUAUAAACUGCACCUCUUUUGAUUUUAGUGAAAUAAUCACAACACUUUCGGAUGGGAGUGGUAUGUAUUCGACGAGAUUCCGUUUCAUUUUCCAGUAGUCAAUACUAUCAGUUAAUGCUCCUUAAAGUGACUAUCCUAAUUAUACCAGCACUGCCGGCUUUGUACUUUUAUUUUUGGAUCUUUAAGUUUUCUCUUCUUUCUGCAAUACAAAUUGUUUGACUUUAAAACUAAAAAAAAAUACUACUGCGCCCUUUUAGAAAUUAUUUUGCCUUGGUAUUAGACAUUUUAAAAGAUUGAUGAAGGAUAAAACAACAAUGUAUGGGAUUCGCUGUGUCUAUUCUUCCUUGGGCGUCGUUGUUUGGAAAUAAGCAUAUGCAUAUAUCGAUUCAUCACAACAAUUCUAGUAUUGUGAAUGUUUUAUAUAAACAACAUUGAGUAUGUACUCUGAAUUUCCACCUGACCAUUGUGGGUAUGAGAAUGAAUUGGGUUGUUGAUGAAAAAAUAGUAUAAUUCCCACACAACUGGCACAUAGAAAAUCCAGGUAUUUGUCUUGUCUUGUAACUGCUCUCACUAGUAAAUUAUUGCUACUUUUAUAAAAUUUAAAUCCAUGUUCGACAAGUUCAAAAAUGAGAGCUUAUCCUCUUUUUUGUAGGAGUUAUGCAUCUUUGAAAUAUAUAUUAUUUGUAAAAAUGCAUUUAUCAUUAUAAUUAUGAAAAAGUUUUAAAAACAUUGUGGAGUUAUUGCCCUUGUGAAGUUUAAUAUGAAAUUUUAUAUCAGUUUUCCAUUCAUGAAAACAAAUGUGUAAAUUUGUGUAGUGGACAAUGUCAGAAGUUAGCAUUUCAAAGAAUAAUAUACCAUUAUACAAUUCAGCAAAAUUAUUCUAACCAUACUAUUUGAUUUGAUAGCUUUUAAUUUGCAUGAUAGGUAUCAUAACUUUAUUGCAUAUUUUCAAAACUCAGAAAUCGAUGUAAGAUACUAAAAUUCGGAGAAUAUAUUCACCCAAAAAAAUACAACAAUUCAUUGUUCUUAAUUUUUGGUCGAUCUUUUAAUAUUUCUGAACGAUGACACGUAUUCGACGGGUUCUGUUCGAUAUAAAUUGACACAGAGAAUAAUGACCUAUAAUUCGGAUUAUAUUGUAAAUGUCCGCUGCAUAUAUUUACAAAAGUGUAUCAACUUAGCGAAAAUUAGCUUUACAAUAGGAAAGUGAUUAUAAAUAAAAGGCAAUGUUUAUAAAAAUUUGAAUAUAGAUAGUUGAGUUCAUAAAUGAUCAAGAUGGGUUAUAUUGUUAUACUGGGAUAUUUCCUUGCUAUUGUUGCGUUCUUGUUGUUAGAAAUAGUUGGAUGCAUAUUAAGACCAUUUAUCAGAGUGUUUAAUCUGUGUAAGUAGUUCUGUGUUAAUUACAUAGAUAAGCAGUACUUUUGUUGUAUAUUUUGCACUGUGUUAAUUACAUAGAUAAACAGUACUUUUGUUGUAUAUUUUGCACUCACUAUCUUAUGCUCAUGUACAGCUUUGGAUUAAAUUACAGCAAAAGACAAUGCUUUAAUUUCGUUGGUAUGUUAUAAUUCCAUUUUAAAAGAAUCAAAACACAAGGGUAUAGGUGACAAAUGUCUAUAACAUCUCUAUUUUUGUUGCUGUCUACUUGGCAAAAGAUAUCAGAGAACAAGCUAGCAAAAUACGUAUGCUUAAUCUAAGUAGAUUCUGAUUUUAUUUUGCAUAGAGAACCAGAAAUUCAAAAUACGGCUAGGUAAUUUAUGCCUGGGAUAAGAUAAUCCUUAGUAUUUUGAAUAAUUUAUACUUUUGCAAACUUGAUCAUAUAAUUGAUAUUCAUAGCAAAACACGUAUGCUUUAUCUAACAAGAUUCUGAUUUUUGUUUACAGUGAUUCCAAUAGUAACCAAGAAUGAUGUUAAUAAUGAUAAUUUUGAGGAACUUAGAUAAUCUCAAAUCAUAGUGCCAUCCAGGAUAAGAUUUUUGGAGAUGAUAGACCUAAAAUGCCAGACUGAAAGACCGCCAUUUCGUAGUGGAACAUAGAGCUGGUAAUGACGCCCGUAAUGACAUAUCUAUUUUGAUUGAAGAACAACAUCAAGGGUUGAAUACACGAUUAUGUUUUCACUUGUAUGAAGCAAUUUCUAAAGAACCAAAAUUAUUAUAAAAAAAAUGGCGACGAACGAGUCAAGCACGACGAAAGAAAAGAAGAUACAUAACUCUAUCAAAAUAUUUGUCAUAUUUUCUAUUAUUAUGUAGAAUAAUUAAUGGAAGAUAAUUAGAAUAAAUGCAUAUUUUUAUGGAAUGUGUUUGUCUAAUCAUAUAUCUGAUAAAUUUUUAAACAUUAAUGACACAGCAGUUCCUUUGAAAUAAAUUAGUUGCAUAUUAAUUUCGACAUGUAAUGUUCUCUUGUUAUCAUUUGCCUUUCUGAAACGUUGUAUAUAUUUUUAAUUACUAUGGGUUCAUGGCUAAUAAAUUUCUUUUUUUUUUAAUAAAUUUGCAUCGUUUUCAAUAAGGUUAGACCUUUGAUGGUUUGUUGUCUCAUUGGCACAUAUUUUUAUCUUAAUUAUAUGUGCAUGAAUGAAUAGGAAAUAUUUGAAAUUUAAUCACAGUUUUAAAAAUUUAAUUUCUGUAUCUAAAUUAUAUAAACUAUUGACUGGAUAUCAAACAACGGCAAGAAAAUUAUCAGUAAAUCCAAGGAACAGCAGUUAUAUUUUCGUUAUUCGACUUGAUUGUUACAUGAAGACAUUCGACGAUGAAAUAAACAGCUAACUUAAAAAAAACACAGGGAUGUUCUUCCCUACUUCAAAUCAGACGUCACCAAAUAAUGACGUCGCAUUUGAUCGAGAUAUCGGUUUGAAUGUACUUUUCAGAUUUGCAUAAAAACACGAAUGAAUAUAUGAAUUCAAAAACCUAUUAAAACUCUUUAAAUAUAACAGAUACUCCUCAUUUGUGUAGAUAAAACUAUAAUUUUACAACGUUUUUUCGUCAAACUCAUUCUAUCGAAAUUGUCAUAUGUUAACUGAAAUGAACAAAUACUUUUGCUUGUCAAUUUUUGUUUGUUUGUGAAAAGAGUCUUAAGACGUUAAAAAAGUGGCAAUGUACUUUUAAACUAUUUGUAUCUAUGCAAAAUAUGUUAAGCGUCAAUCUAUGAUGUUUAUUGUCAAUCAAUUAAGUGCAUUAGUAUUUGAUUUUUUAUCACCAUAGUGUCGAAUGGUGCAUUGUAGUGCUAAAUGUUAAGAUAUUAUCAAAUUACACAGAAGGAAGAAAUUUGAAAUAAAUUAAAGGAGAUGAAUUACUCUGAAAAUUAUACAAAAUGAUACUUUGUACUUACUCAUUUGAAUUAAUUGUAGAUUGUAGUUUUAACUGAAUAUUUCGACAUAAUUGAUAUCAAAAUAUUUAUAUUUUUUUUCUUGUCAUUUUCAUUGCAUAAAUAUAUAAUAUAAAUGAAUAAAUAUAAAAAUAUCUAUAUCAUACAACUAUUUACAUUUUUUUUUAUUUCAAGAAAACAAACUUACGCUUCAAGUUAACUAACUAAUACAACGUGAAAAUACAAAUUGCAAGAUAAUAUAAAAUAAGCCGAAUGUCCGAACUGUUAAAAAACGCAGUUGAUUUCAGCAAUACUAUUGGUGUUGCAUUAAUAAGCAAUGUAAUGAUAUUUGUACAUACUGUUUGUUUCAGUGUUGUCAACUACAGCAAGUGAACUCUUUUUUGGGAACAUAAAAGCGAUCUUCAUUCCUAUUGGAACCAACUGUGUCUUCUUCUUGCCGACAGAUUCCCUUCAACGCACGAGACCGGUUUCAAGCAAGGCUCCUUUGGAAGAAAGAUAAGAAGCUUGCAUUAUACGUAACUCCACUAUCCGCUUUAUAGGUCAUGUUCUCUCACUAAAUGAUUCAAAGUUUGGUGUUUAUGAGGAACGCAUCUAUUCCAAUUUAUCGAAUCAAAGAUAUAUCAUACAACAGAGACGGUAAGGUAUUCCUUAUCUCUUGACUGACAUCUAAAAAUUGAAUAUCGGCUGAAACUGGGCUGAAACACAAAUCUUUCCGAGAAAACAUGUGAUUUCAGCAUCGCAAUUGUGGUUCUUUCCAUUUCUAUGUAGCUACAUUCCAGCAGCGCCUUCAUACGGAAUAUAUAUCUUCCAGUUGAUAUGAUAAUCCAGUGCUUGUAUUUCCGUUCAUGAUUUUAUUAAUAAAGAUUAGCUGCUCACAUAGAAGCUAUUAAAGCAAGAGUUCCAAGUGGUGAAGUUGAAAUUGUCCUUUCUUAAAUUUAACGGCCACGAUCACGAGAUGGUUGACCCUUAUGGAAUAUUUGACUUUCCCUAAGUUUUAGUUUGUUACCCCGAUUUUGUUUUUUGUUUAUAGAUUUAUGAGUUUUUAACAGCGGUAUACUACUGUUGCCUUUAUUCAUGGAUGACAACAGAUAUGUUUUAAAUUUCGUAAUCACAAUCAAGGCCUCUAUUUCUCGAAUGUGAGCUACCGAAAUAGAUAUGUCACCGGAUUUGCACUUCCAUAAGCCGUACGAAGUAUGCCACAUAUACUUACUCUUCUUGAGCACCUACGAACAGCUCCGGAUUUGAGUCGGGUUCAUUUUGCUUUAGUUUUCUUUGUUGUGUUUUGUAUUCUGUUGUUAUCUUUUUUUAUUGCAUGACACUGUCUCGAUAUUACCUGCAUAUAUGAUACACAUUUCCGACUCAUUCCGUAUUCCAGAUUUUGCAGCUGCUACUCAGUCUGUAUAAAAUAGAUACCAAGACCUUGGUGACAAAUAUUCCUUACCAACUAUACAAAUAAUACGCGAUGGGUAUAGAAAUUAAAUCAUGUGUACUGACAUUGUUUUAAUCAUCUUAACUAAGUGGUAGCAUGUUAUCUUUUUUA
rnacentral:lncRNA from 1 species